AUCCUGGCUCAGGAUGAACGCUAGCGGCAGGCUUAACACAUGCAAGUCGAGGGGUAUAGUUCUUCGGAACUAGAGACCGGCGCACGGGUGCGUAACGCGUAUGCAAUCUACCUUUGCAGAGGGAUAGCCCAGAGAAAUUUGGAUUAAUACCUCAUAGUAUAGCAGUUUCGCAUGAAACCACUAUUAAAGUCACAACGGCAAAAGAUGAGCAUGCGUCCCAUUAGCUAGUUGGUAAGGUAACGGCUUACCAUGGCUACGAUAGGUAGGGGUCCUGAGAGGGAGAUCCCCCACACUGGUACUGAGACACGGACCAGACUCCUACGGGAGGCAGCAGUGAGGAAUAUUGGACAAUGGGCGCAAGCCUGAUCCAGCCAUGCCGCGUGUAGGAAGAAGCAUCUAUGGUGUGUAAACUGCUUUUGUACGGGAAGAAACACUCCUACGUGUAGGAGCUUGACGGUACCGUAAGAAUAAGGAUCGGCUAACUCCGUG
rnacentral:rRNA from 1 species